CCUACGGGAGGCAGCAGUGGGGAAUAUUGCACAAUGGGGGAGACCCUGAUGCAGCGACGCCGCGUGAGUGAAGAAGUAUUUCUGUAUGUAAAGCUCUGUCAGCAGGGGAGAAAAUGACGGUACCUGACCAAGAAGCACCGGCUAACUACGUGCCAGCAGCCGCGGUAAUACGUAGGGUGCAAGCGUUAUACGGAUUUACUGGGUGUAAAGGGAGCGUAGACGGCAGGUCAAGUCUGGAGUGAAAGGGGGAGGCUCAACCUCGGACUGCCGUGGAAACUGGCAGGCUGGAGUGAAGGAGAGGUAAGUGGAAUUCCUAGUGUAGCGGUGAAAUGCGUAGAUAUUAGGAGGAACACCAGUGGCGAAGGCAGCUUACUGGACUGUAACUGACGUUGAGGCUCGAAAGCGUGGGGAGCAAACAGGAUUAGAUACCCGAGUAGUC
rnacentral:rRNA from 1 species